rnacentral:lncRNA from 1 species
GGAAUUUGAGGUAUUAGGGAAGAAUUUUUAAAUAGUUAGGAUUUAUUUAAGAAGUGUAUGAGAGAGUAGAUUCAUUAUAUGAACAAAGGAAUUAUAAUAAAAAGUAAAAACAGUAAGAACCCAGUAGAAAUUUUUUUAAUUGCUCUGGUUUCCAAAGCAAGAUUAAGAUUUCUAUGAAUGAGAUUCUGCUAGAAUUCUUGAAGGAAAAACUUUUGAACUUGCAUUUAAAAUAUGGAUGAACUAUCAAAGGAUGAGAUAAUCAGUUAAAAUCAGUCAGUAUCAGUACAUAGAGGCAUUAAAGAUAGAGGAUAUUUUGGAAAAUUAUGAUUAUGCCACUUAGGAAUUGGGUUGUAGUUUCUGAGGUUGUAAUAAAUAGAUAAAGGUUCGGAUCCUGCAUGGUCUCAAGUAUGAGUCUAAGAGUCUUCAUAUAUGUUUUGUCCAAUAAAAAAUACAGAUUAUUUUAAUGGAAUAUAUAUGGAUUUUAGCCUAUACAUAUUCUAUUAACAUAUACAUGUUAAAAUGGUACAGAGUUUUAAUUUCAUUAUAUAUUCUCUAGAACCACUGAAUAUGCUUUCUCCAGGGAAAAGAAGUUGAUUUUUCAAUUUGUAAGGUCAAAAGAACUAAAUUAGCCAAAAAUAGCUUAAAAUAUCAAUGAGAAAUGAAGAUUGCAUAAGUUCUGAGACAUUAUUAUGAUAACACAAUUUCUUGCUUUUUUAAUUAUAAUAAAAUGAGAAUUAAGGCAUAAUAUGUAAAUCAUAAUUUGCUGUAAGCAUUCUAAUUUAGAGGAAGCUGCAGGAGAAAUUCUGACUAAGCAGUCUGAUGUUUUUAGCCAAAUAAGUGAACUCAUUUAUUAUAACUAGUGGUUGCUUAAUGCAAAAUUUUUUUAUAGCAAUAGUUCUCAAUGAAAUGCUGGAAUGUGUUGGAGAACUUUUAUUACUUUUUAUUAUAUUGUAUUUACAAUGUUCUGUAAAUUUCUGCCAUACGGCAAAGUGACUCAGUUAUAUAUGUGUUAUAUAUCUUUUUAUCACAUUAUCCUCCAUCAUAUUCCAUCACCAGUGAUUAGAUAUAGUUCCCUGUGCUAUACAGCAGGAUCCCAUUGCUUAUCCACUUUGGGGAACUUUUAAAAUCCAAAGGCCAAACUACAUCCCAGACAAAUUAUAUAAUAUUCUGGAAAUAGGACCCAAGUAUAAAUAUUUUUAAAUCUCCUCAGGUGAUUUCAAUAUCAAGCCAAAGUUGGAAACUCCUUAUUUUAGGACAGAUUAACCAAUAAAAUUGUUUAACACAAACAUAGUUUUCCAUCUGUAAUUAUGACGUCUUAUUUUCUUUUAUGACUAGGAAACCAUUGUUAUACAGUUAAGCAAUCACUUAACUAGUAACCAACUGAUUUAGUUACAUUUUUCAUCAUAUUUAUAUGGUCCCCUGAAUGUUAAUAUUCUAUGAGUUUUGUUUCUUUGCUUUGUAUAUCUGAGACAAAAUGAAGAUUUUACCAUUUUUCAAUACAUCAUGUCCUUUCAAAGGAUUAUGUCUCAAUACAGUGCCCUUUUGUGCUCUACACUUUUGUAAACAUGUAGUCUAGCAAGGACUUACAUUAAUAAUUAAAUCAAAUUGGGAGCUAUCAUAUGAUUCAUUUAUUAAACUUAGUAAAUAUAUUUACUAAGCAAAAUUAAUCAGAAUUUAAUGAUUAUAGUCACUGCAUUCCUAAAAAAAAUUAAAUAUUUAGGGGUCUCAUAGGCAGGCACAGAGCCAUUAUUUGCUUAGGGGGUACUUAAAAGUAUCUUGGAAGCAGUGCAAAGAAUCCUGGAAAUCUGCAAGGAGCUUUCUAUGCAAGUUGAGAGCUGUGAAAAGUCCAUUAAACUGGUAAAGCUAUUUUAGAAACAGUGCAAAUGGUCCUGUGAACCGCAGAAGGCCUAGUGGGUGGGGAAGAUCUGAUAUAUGCACAGGAGAUAGAGAAAGAAAACUUGGAAAUAGCACAAAAGAUCCUGGGAGUCAAAAGAGGCCAGGUGGAAAGCCCAAAAAGGCCUAGUGAAGGGACAAAGUGAACCUGGAAACAACACACACAGCCUGGGAGACACAAAUGUCCUAGUGGAUUGGUAGAGUAAUUUCGUGAAAGCACAAGCUCCAUCAUCCCUACCAACAAUCAACCAGGGGACUGCAGAAAUAGUACAUGUGGCAUGGGUAGAAAAAGGAGUUGAAGGGGCCCACUGGUGCAUACUUUUAUAGCGCAACAGCUACGGGAGCACUUUACCAUCAGCCUAGUAGGGGGAGGGACUGCCAGAAUGGCGCAGAGAGAAUGCUAUAGAGAAAGACUUUUAGCAACAGUUAGGGAGAAGGCCCUGCCUCUGGGGCUACAGAGAAUGCCCGCUAUACUGGACAAACAAAGGGAAUGACUACAGAGGGGCCCCUGUCUCCCCGCCAACCCUUAGCCACAUAAAGCGGUCCUUAGAACAUAUCAGACAAAGGGAGGGACCCUGUGGGAUAAACUGCUAAAGUUGCCAAUCAUAGAAAACUGUCCUGAGAUCUACCUGGAAGCAGGAGGGGUCACGGAGCCAGCCCUGAUUCCCUUAACCACAAAAGCAAUCCUGUGAAACAUUGAUCACUACCAACAUUUGCAGGGACCCCAUCCCUAACAGCCACCUGGCUUCAUGGGAGGUAGCACAGUACUACAGCUCCCAUGAUGUGCUCUAGGAACACAUGAACCACUAACACUCCUGUGGAAUUCAGAACAAAGCACCAACUGUGGCAUCUAAAAACAUGUCAUCAAGGGUACAGUAAGUAUAGAAAGUUAGACAUUAUGAGAUAACAAAGAAAUAGCCUUCAAAUGAAUAAGACAAAAGCACAAAAACAACUAAAUGAGGAGGAAAUAGGUAACCUACCUGAAAAAAGAAUUGAGAGAGAUGAUAAUAAAGAUGAUUCAAGACCUUGGGGAAAAAAAAUGGAGACACAGAGAUGUUAUGAGAAAUGUUUAACAAAGAGCUAGAGGAGCUAAGGAACAAGCAAAUUAAGAUGGAUAGCACAAUAUAUGAAAUGAAAAAUACACUAGAAGAAUCAAUAGCAGGAUAACAGAGGCAGAAGGAUGAAUAAGUGAUGUGGAAGACAGAGUGGUGGAGAUCACUGCC